CUGUGUGCGCAAACCUCCAGCAACUUUUCAACUUCGGCACACACCAAAGCCAUCAAGUACCUGCAAUUGACAGAAUCGCGUGCAAUUCAGGUACUCCAGGAUUGUACUGGAGCUCGGCCAGAUGGGGAGUGAAGGAAAAGGUGGAGUGGAGCUUCACCUGCUCACAGCAGUACAGAGUUUCUCCUGUGAUCACUCCUUUUUCUCUACAGGAAUCCAGUCCUUGUUUUGACGUUAAAGCAACGCUAUGAUCCCAGAAAUACAAGCAAGCCUGGAGGUGGUUAGGACAUGAAAGUGAGGUGAGAAAGACAAGAGAUUCAUUCAUGGGGAGGUGAUUUAAGGCACCGACAUCCCUGUAUCUUUGCGCAGCGACAGAUGAUCAUUAUUACUCACUCACAGUGCUCACCCAGCGCUCACACGCAACCUGGGAUCAGACUGACAGAUGAUGAGUGAUUGCAACAAGAUUAUAACAGCCUCUAUUCAUGACAUAACAACUAACCUGACUGUUGCAUAUAAUCAUAGUGAUCAUGAUGACGGGGAUUAAAAUCAAAUGUCAUUCUAUUGAUCAUAGCAGUAGCACUUUUUGUGUUAAAGGGGCUGAUUUAAUUUUGUGUUUGUGAGGGAAGAACCAAAAGACAAAUAAUGUUAUCUCAAUUAUAAGGAAGUUUCACCUUAACUCAACCUAGCUUGUGUAGUUCUUUUCAUACAAACGUGCAGCCACAACUCGGGUUGUUUACGAAGCCCUAAGCAGAAAGAAAUCCUUACCUCUUAUUUCCUUCUGUUCCUGUGAUAACGAGUCAUUUCCAGUCCUUUUUUUUUUUUUUUUUUUUUUUUUUUAAAUCUUCACUUAUUAAUGUUGUUAUCUGAAGAUGACAACACCGUUUUUCUGGCAAUAACAAGUUAAUUUUUAAGAUCUCAAGAAAACAACUUAUAAUAAGUCAUUAUCACAGGAUAACUAGUGUCGUUAUUUCUAACUAAUGACAUACAUAAGUAGAGAUCUUAGUAGAGAAAAAAGACAGAAAUGUACUUUUCACAGGAAAAGGGAGAAAAGUAUGGCUGCAUGUCCUCUUAGGGCUUCCAUAGUUUAUAACAUUACAUCAAAAAUAUUUGUAUAUUGACACUUUGAGAUUAUGCAUUUAUAGUGUUGUUCCUUCUACUUUUGUGGUUAUAUCCUCCCUUUCUGAAAUAUUUGAAAAUAAGUUCAAUGAACUCCACAAACCAUAAUGCUUCGCGCGCCUACGUCAGCUCAGAGCAGCAUGUGCUGCGCUGCUGUGCUCCAACUAUGGCUCAGUGCGGCUCCGGCUCUUCAGAGGGGCGCAUCGUACAGUUGGAACUCUAGCAGAGACCAUCACAGCGCUGGACCAGCAGGAGGAAAGCAGCUUCUUUUACCUCUCACUGGAAGUAAUCCCACUGAUCGGUCUGCUGGAUUUAAUAGAACAAAGAUCGAUUUACGCAUCGAUUCCUCGGACGCAAAUAUGAAGGAUUAAAUAUUACAGCGCUGUCACACGUGGAGGAGUUAUUAUUGUUUUUAUUUCUAAGUCAAACUUGACGAUGGCAGCAGCUGAUGGAUUCAACACUCCAGCUCGGGGUCUUUCGGUUGGAUUUAAGGAAAUACUGUCCCUCACUCGGGAUGAGUGGUGUCCAUUACUCAGCUGCUGGACAAGCCGUUUGGCGGACAGACGAGUCCCUUGGGAUACUUUACGCGUGUUCAAGUGUGGCCAGUGUCACUGAUUGCCGGUGCAAUGGUACAGUUUUCGAGAUCAAUAUUUGUUUUUCUGGAUUUUGACACAACGAAAUGAAUAUCCUGGAAUAUAUAGUUUUAGAGCGAUGCUCUGAAGAAGUCCUGCAACUUGGAUAAAGACAUCUCCUCAUCCACAAGUGAAGGAUUCAUAAUUCUGGGAAUGAGAUGUCGAACCUUGAAUUGCCUCCCAUGGUUCUUUUGAUGAUCUCAGGUGUGCGUCGAGAAGAGGCUGACUAAUGGAAACAUGAUCUCAAAGGAUUCAUCAGGAUCCAACUAAAUCCUGGAUUGGACCUUGGACCAGUAUCCCCUGCAGCAGAUGUUCUCUCCUGGCAUGGUUACUAACAGCAAGAGCUCCAUAUGACUGACAAUCUCCCUCAAGAUCCAGUGCGGGCCGUUUGGACUUGGAGGAGCUGUGACAUAAAAGCAGCAGGACAUGGGAGUGUUUUCUGCGGCUGAGACAUUACGGUUGAUGAGUCAAAGCUGUCGGUUGGAAAAUGUGCUUCAUGGAUGUCCACUUUAAUGUUUGAACCACAAUGGAUCUAUGAAUUGUUUGACUUUCUCUUUACCUGGAUUAAGAUGUCCCUGUGUAUGUAUCUGCUCUGGUUACAGAAUCAACAAGUGCUGGACUUUCAAGUGGAAAAUAAUUAGAUGUUGCUUUUCCUUUUCGGUUGUGUUUUUGUAGCCCUUGCAUCGCUGCAGCCACAUACAAAUAUUAUUUCUUCAGAGGGAGUGUAUAAUUAAUUAAUACAAAUGCGAUCUAGUUUCCUCAGAAGGAUUAGUCAAUCAUUGGAUCUUUUGACAUCUUGUAAUUGAGAUCACAAAGGAGCCAUUGUAAUCAAGGUACAAACCAAAACCUCUCCUAUUGACACUGCAUAUCAUUGUGACAUCUGUCAGCCUGUGUUAAUAUUGCUUAAUAACCCUGUCAGUUGUUUUAUUUUCAUGAUUGAUUGCUCAUAACUUUUGUUGCGUCUGUGAAAGCCUGUUAGAGAAAAUAAAAAAGUGUAUCCAGA